rnacentral:rRNA from 1 species
GACAGAGGUUGCAAACGUUGUUCGGAAUUACUGGGCAUAAAGCGCACGUAGGCGGUCCGUUAAGUCAUGUGUGAAAUCCCCCGGCUCAACCGGGGAAUUGCGCCUGAUACUGGCGGGCUAGAGAUCGAUAGGGGUGAGCGGAACUCCAGGUGGAGCGGUGAAAUGCGUAGAUAUCUGGAGGAACACCGGUGGCGAAAGCGGCUCACUGGAUCGAAACUGACGCUGAGGUGCGAAAGCGUGGGGAGCGAACAGG